UAUAUAUAAGCAGAACCUUUCAGUAUUUAACAAUUUAUCAUAUUUUUCCUUUAAAAAUCUUUAUUUUAUGUGUAGAUAGAAUGGUUAAGAAGCGUUGUCUCGAGGAAAUUUCCUAGAAAACAAAAUCUUUCAGUAUUGAUACAAAAGUUUAAGAAGGUAAAUCACUAUGUUUGUGAUAAUGUUUAAUAUAUGAUACAUGUUUCUUCAACAUAACAUAAGAAGGUAAAUAUGUAUGUUUGUGGUAAUGUUUAAUGUAUCAUACAUGUUUCUUUAACAUAACAUAAGAAGGUAAAUGUGUAUGUUUGUGGUAAUGUUUAAUGUAUGAUACAUGUUUCUUCAACAUAACAUAAGAAGGUAAAUAUGUAUGUUUGUGGUAAUGUUUAAUGUAUGAUACAUGUUUCUUCAACAUAAUAUUACUUGCUGUUUUUGCAUAAAUGUUAAAUACAUUUAUUAUAUUUUUUGAAUUUGGGAGAUAUGUGGUACAUGUAUUUGAAUAAUUUUAAAAUGUAAGUUUAUAAAGCUAUGAUAAGUGAAAUAUAAUAUUUAGGUUAUUCUUACAUAUUCUUGCCAACAAUACUUCACUGAGUUAAAACAUGUGUCUUUCUAGGACAUGAUGGAAAAUAUCUUACCAAAAUAAACUUAGCUAAAUUUAAAAGAUUAAAAGAAAAAUACAACACAUCUUUCUAGUUAAGGAACACCAUCCUGCCAAGAAUACUUAACUAAACUAAAAACACAUAUUUCUAUUUAAGGAACACCAUCCUGCCAAGAAUACUUAACUAAAUUUAAAGCUAAAAACACACUUUUCUAGUUAAGGAACACCAUCCUGUCAAGAAUACUUAACUAAACUAAAAACACAUAUUUCUAUUUAAGGAACACCAUCCUGCCAAGAAUACUUAACUAAAUUUAAAGCUAAAAACACACUUUUCUAGUUAAGGAACACCAUCCUGUCAAGAAUACUUAACUAAAUAUAAAACACAUAUUUCUAUUUAAGGAACACCAUCCUGCCAAGAAUACUUAACUAAAUUUAAAGCUAAAAACACACUUUUCUAGUUAAGGAACACCAUCCUGUCAAGAAUACUUAACUAAAUAUAAAACUAAAAACACACCUUUCUAUCUAGUUAAGGAACAUAAUCCUGCCAAGAAUAUUUAACUAAACUAAAAACAAACUUAUCUAGUUAAGGAACAUAAUCUUGCCAAGAAUAUUUAACUAAACUAAAAAC